CCCGCUGAACUUAAGCAUAUCAAUAAGCGGAGGAAAAGAAACCAACAGGGAUUGCCUCAGUAACGGCGAGUGAAGCGGCAAAAGCUCAAAUUUGAAAUCUGACCCUUCGGGUCCGAGUUGUAAUUUGCAGAGGAUGCUUCUGGCGACAUGCCUUCCGAGUUCCCUGGAACGGGACGCCAUAGAGGUGUGAGAGCCCCGUACGGUCGCGCACCUAGCCUCUGUGAAGCUCCUUCGAAGAGUCGAGUAGUUUGGGAAUGCUGCUCUUAGCGGGAGGUAUACGUCUUCUAAAGCUAAAUACCGACCAGAGACCGAUAGCGCACAAGUAGAGUGAUCGACAGAUGAAAAGCACUUUGAAAAGAGAGUUAAAAGUACGUGAAAUUGCUGAAAGGGAAGCGCUCACGACCAGACGUGACGCCGGUGAAUCACCCAGCUUUCUCGCUGGUGCACUUUGCCGCUGCAGACCAUCAUCAGUUCGCGCCGGGGGAUAAAGGCGGCGGGAAUGUGUGCUCCCCCGGGAGUGUUAUAGCCCGCCGCGCAAUACCCUGCGGCGGACUGAGGGUACGCGCUCCGCAAGGAUGCUGGCGUAAUGGUCAUCAGCGACCCGUCUUGAAACACGG
rnacentral:rRNA from 1 species